GUUGAGAACCACUGCCCUAAGAGCAUGAGAUUCCAUCUCAACUCAUCUCACAAGCUAAGCAGGGUUGGUCCUGGCUAGUAUUUGGAUGGGAGACCACCUAUGAAUACCAGGUGCUGUUGGCU
rnacentral:rRNA from 1 species